CCUACGGGGGGCUGCAGUCGAGAAUCAUUCACAAUGGGGGAAACCCUGAUGGUGCGACGCCGCGUGGGGGAAUGAAGGUCAUCGGAUUGUAAACCCCUGUCAUGUGGGAGCAAAUUAAAAAGAUAGUACCACAAGAGGAAGAGACGGCUAACUCUGUGCCAGCAGCCGCGGUAAUACAGAGGUCUCAAGCGUUGUUCGGAAUCACUGGGCGUAAGGCGUGCGUAGGCUGUUUCGUAAGUCGUGUGUGAAAGGCGCGGGCUCAACCCGCGGACGGCACAUGAUACUGCGAGACUAGAGUAAUGGAGGGGGAACCGGAAUUCUCGGUGUAGCAGUGAAAUGCGUAGAUAUCGAGAGGAACACUCGUGGCGAAGGCGGGUUCCUGGACAUUAACUGACGCUGAGGCACGAAGGCCAGGGGAGCGAAAGGGAUUAGAUACCCCUGUAGUC
rnacentral:rRNA from 1 species